AUUGAACGCUGGCGGCAUGCCUUACACAUGCAAGUCGAACGGCAGCACGGGGCAACCUGGUGGCGAGUGGCGAACGGGUGAGUAAUGCAUCGGAACGUACCUUUCAGUGGGGGAUAACGUAGCGAAAGUUACGCUAAUACCGCAUAUUCUGUGAGCAGGAAAGCAGGGGAUCGCAAGACCUUGCGCUGAUUGAGCGGCCGAUGUCAGAUUAGCUAGUUGGUGAGGUAAAGGCUCACCAAGGAGACGAUCUGUAGCGGGUCUGAGUGGAUGAUCCGCAACACUGGACCUGAGACACGGUCCAGACUCCUACGGGAGGCAGCAGUGGGGAAUUUUGGACAAUGGGGGCAACCCUGAUCCAGCCAUGCCGCGUGAGUGAAGAAGGCCUUCGGGUUGUAAAGCUCUUUCGGCCGGGAAGAAAUCGCACGGGCUAAUACCCUGUGUGGAUGACGGUACCGGAAUAAGAAGCACCGGCUAACUACGUGCCAGCCGCCGCCGUAACAC
rnacentral:rRNA from 1 species